AACGCAGCGGCAGGCUAACACAUGCAAGUCGAGGGGCAACGCGAGUAGCAAUACUUGGCGGCGACCGGCGCAAGGGUGCGUAACGCGUGAGCAACAUGCCCGUAUCAGGGGGAUAAUCCAGGGAAACUUUGGUCUAAUACCCCAUAGUAAUUUUGUAAGGCAUCUUAUAAGAUUUUAAAGCUUUGGUGGAUACGGAUUGGCUCGCGUGACAUUAGCUGGAUGGUAAGGUAACGGCUUACCAUGGCUAUGAUGUCUAGGGGUUCUGAGAGGAUGGUCCCCCACACUGGAACUGAGACACGGUCCAGACUCCUACGGGAGGCAGCAGUGAGGAAUAUUGGACAAUGGAUGGAAAUCUGAUCCAGCCAUGCCGCGUGAAGGAAGAAGGUCCUAUGGAUUGUAAACUUCUUUUGUAUGGGAGCAAUAAGGCCUACGAGUAGGUUGAUGAGAGUACCAUACGAAUAAGCACCGGCUAACUCCGUGCCAGCCGCCGC
rnacentral:rRNA from 1 species